rnacentral:rRNA from 1 species
AUACGGAGGAUGCGAGCGUUAUCCGGAUUUAUUGGGUUUAAAGGGUGCGUAGGCUGUGCUGUAAGUCAGGGGUGAAAUGCCGGUGCUCAACGCCGGAGCUGCCCUUGAUACUGCAGUGCUGGAGUACGGAUGCCGUUGGAGGAAUGAGUGGUGUAGCGGUGAAAUGCAUAGAUAUCACUCAGAACACCGAUUGCGAAGGCAUUUGACGAAUCCGUCACUGACGCUGAGGCACGAAAGCGUGGGGAUAGAACAGGAUUAGAUACCCUGGUAUUCCACGCCGUAAACGAUGAUGACUAACCGCCUGCGAUACAGUGUAGGUGGCCAAGCGAAAGCGAUAAGUCAUCCACCUGGGGAGUACGGCCGCAAGGCUUAAACUCAAAGGAAUUGACGGGG